rnacentral:lncRNA from 1 species
UACGUAUAGAAAAUUUGCUCUUCAAAAAAUCAAAUAAAUAAAUAAAUAAUCAAACUUUUUCCUAAGCAAAUAAAUAACACUUAUCCCUAAUCUAAAAUCUUUUUUUUAUGCCGUCUCAUCAUUCAAAGUAAUGCAUGACUCGGGCUCGAAAUCCAUAACCAAAUCAAUGAAAUUUUGUGGUUGGACUUCUUGCUCAAGGUCUUCCAGCUCUGGUUCGAUCUCCUCCUCUGGGUCUUUCUCCGACUCCUUCAACUCUGGCUCUGGCUCUGGUUCGAGCUUAGGUGCUGGUGCUUGUUGUUUGUGAUUCCAUAAAAUUAUGAUAUCUUCACAGUAUCCUUUGAAAUCAAUCUUAUCCCAAUGUUCUUCCAAAUAUAAAUCAUAAUCCAUGUCCCUUGCAAAAUAAGCCACGUCUCUCCAUUGAGGUUGCAUAGUGCUUAUAAGGUGACAUUUCGAAAGGAUUGUCCCCUCAUUAUAUCCAAACGACCUUGCUCGCUCCCACUUAGAAAGGAAAUCUUCAACAUGUACAACAAAAGUUCGCUCCCAUCUCACUUUAUAAUUUAUAUAGUUCUUAAUGGCCAUUUCAACACGCUGGAGGUACGUUGGGCUAUUUCUAGUCAUCCUAAUCACAUGACAAGUAUAUUUCAAUUAUGUUUAAUUUGGUAUUAUCAAUAUUAUUUUGUUCUUAGUGCGUAAAUGAUGUUCUGGUAAAGUGACAAAUAAACUAUGCGAGGUGACCAUGCUUAUACAUUUUAUAAUAUGCAACAAUGUUUAAAAACAUGACAUUACAUUUCAUACUUGGGAUCAAUUGGAGAGUAGUCGAAUGGUGAGCGCCACAUGCCAAGUAUUCUUUAUAUCAUUACAUAUUUAAAAAUUUGCAAUCACAACAUAAAAAUACUUUGAUUUUAUUUGUUUAAAAAAUUUCUAAAAUUGGAACGUCAUAAACGUUUCUAAUGAUAACUAUGUAAGUUCAUUAUUUAGAAUAAGUUUUACACAAACCUUUAACAUUAAACAAAUGUAAGAAAUAAGAAAGAAAAACUAUUUUUGCAUGAAA